CAAGUAGUCUUAUAGUAAGUUUAUUGUUUACAUCAAUAAUGUAAUCGUGCAAUUCGAUUUUGCUUGA
rnacentral:tRNA from 1 species